GGUUCAUGGUGCGCUGCCCUAACCCCUUCUUGUUCGUGCUCUGCCCUAACUCCUCCAUCAAAAGCCCCAACGCGACGAGACACUCACUGCCCUAACUCCUCCUCCUUCAUUGUGCCUCGCCCUCACUCGCCGUGGAUGCUCCCCUUUGCCGCUGCUCCCUUACGUCACUGCAAAACCCUAACCCCCUAACCCCUUCCGCGCCGCUCCCUUCCUACUUCUUGCUUCUUUGAUGUAUUGAAGGCAAUCUCGUUGAAGCAGAAGUGGGAUUUGAACGAUUUACGGGUUCUUAAUUCGAAAUCUGUUGGGAACAGGUUCAGGUUCGGAACGUUUCAGAACUUCGAGUUCAGAAUGGGUUUGGGAAAAAGAGCAAUUUUUCUGUGAAAUUUCCUUAGCCAUAGGCGCUGCAGAAGCAGAACGCGGUCACCGCCGAGGCGCCGCACAAGGCACAGAAGUAGAAGCACUUCGUCGCCCUCUCCUCCUCCUCCUAAAUCGCGCAGUCCCAGUGUCGUUGCGAACCAUCACAAGCUCAAAAAAGACGAAGAAGAAAAGAGAAGAUUCAAGAAUCUGACAAAGCAAGAAAGAAGUUCUCAAAUGCAAAAUCUCUUUCUUCCUCCCAAUUUUUUGGAGAUCAGAACAAAGCUGCAGACGUGGCUGCUCAAGCUACUUUGUCAAAGUUUUCAGGUUCAUCUGCCAUCUCCAGUGCUGUUCAUACCCUCGAUUUCCCGAGAGUUCUGAGGCUGGCGAAGCUGAGCAACAAUGGUGCUGUGCUCUUAUGCAAGAACACGGGUUUUUCUUUAUCUUCCCUCAAAUGGAGGAACCUUCUGGGAGGACAUGGUUCAAGCCGUGGUGUUUUUCUUUGUGAUGAGGACAUUUUCCUUUGGGAUGAGGACCUUGGAGUUUAAGAGUUCCACCCAGAUAAGAAUGUUGAAUACCAUCUCUGAUUUCUGAAAAUUAGAAAAAAUAUAGUUUGAUGCUCUUAGAUUGUUUAAUUAAAAACAAAAUUGGUGGAGAUUACUUUUGUUUUAUUUUUUUAAAUGGGCACUCCUAUAAUGUUACAAAAUCUUAAUGAUUCUCAAAUGAUUUUUUAGUUAUAUAUCUAUCAUUAAAAGUGAAGGGCUGGAGAUUUCACAACCAGCACUUGAUCCUCAACUUUCUGAAAGGUCUUGCUGUGGAGAUUUCACAACCAGCUCUAGAGAUUUUUCAGUUACUUACUGUGCUUAGAACUGGGCUUCGACUUCCUUGGUAUCCAAAUUGAAAGGUCUUGCUGAGAGAAAAAAGCUAGAGGACUUGACAAUUGGUCCAGUUCUCACUUUUACAACUGAAUCAAUGUUGUAAAUAGAGAAAAUUAAAUAGAAGAAAAGCAUAGCUUAAUGCAAAGCUUUUGAAGAUGCAUAUACUCACAAUCAUGUUCUUACAUACUUUUGGUUGUUGUGCUUGCAAGAAGGACAUACAAAAUUGGAGGUUGUGAUUUGAGCAGCACUGCUCCUCCUUGUACCAGGUGGAUUGAAAUGAUGGCUCAUGUUUUCUCAAGAGCUGCAUGGCAUUGCA